UCUGUCCUGUUAAUAGAGUGAAAAAAAAAAAAAAAAAACAUUGUUAGCUUAACGGUAGUUUAGUCUGCCUAAUAUGAGUGUAUAUGUGUGUGUGUUUUCUGGCACCAUGCAGGUUCUGGUCCCUCAUUCACACCCUCUGCUUCAGCAUCCUCUAUGAUCUUGUUGUGUGUGCUAUUUGGACAUUAAUGAAGACAGUGUGAAAGUGCCAAGUGCCAAAGACCAAUUAGUAACAAGUCUAUGUAAAUGUAGUCAUUGUUAAGUUGUGGUUGUACUUCAGAUAAGAGCUGACACGAGUUCUUUCAAAGUUUCCACUACUGAUAGUUCAGUUCUGUCAUAAACUCACCGCAGACACAUCUCACCUCACGCUUCCUCCCUGCUGAGAUUUAAGCAGCAGCUGAAGGUGUUUUACUCUCAUAUCCACAGCAGUUAUAAUGACGACUGAAGCUGCUUCUGUUCCUCUGCUAACGUACUGCCAAGCUACGCACAAGCGUCAGUAGUACUUUCAUCAUGGAGUGACAUGAAUAUAAGACUAUGCUAAGUAUGAGCUCGUCACGGUGGGCACGGCGCAGUGGUUAGCACUGUCGCCUCAUAGCAACAGGAUUCCGCGUUCGAAUCCCCGGCAGGUUUGCUAUGUUGGGUUUGGGGUUUGCAUUGUUCUCCCCAGUGCCUGAGUGGGUUUCCUCCGGAUAAUCCGGGGCUUUCUCCCACAAUACCGAUAACAUGCACAGAAGAUGGAAAACAUGAAAAAAGUAGUAGAGUGUUGUCUGUCGUGUGUGUGUGUGUGUGUGUGUGGGGGGGUGUGUGUGUGUGUGAAUGUUUUGUGUGAGAGAGAGGGAGAGAGAUACGACGCUGAGACUCCGCGGUCCUUGCGCUCACCAGUGGAGAGGUAACUACUGUGUGUAUUUCUGUUUUAUAAUAUGACCUUAUUGUGUUGGGCUUGGGCUACAUAUUUUGUAGUCAUUUAGUUGUGACGGCAGAAAUUUGUUAUUAUAUUUAAAAGGGAAGCUCUUAGCAGUUACUAUUUAUAAUCAUCAUAUAUGAGGAUAAAGGCUCCUGCACGCUGUGAUUUACAGUAGCGCCAUCAUUUCUGUCCAAAGGUAUCAGGUAUUUUCAUCAGAUCAUAUUAAUAUACAGUAAAGUAUAGGAGCUCAUUCACAUUAGUAACAUAAGUGUCACUGCCUCACUUGGUCUGGUGUGACCAAUAAAUCUUUCGAUGGCUAAUGCGAGAUAACAUAAGUCACAUGCUAGUAUACUUUUAUUACACUUUUUCUACUGGUCUUUGUGUUUCAGUAUUGACCAUCAAACAGUAUAUAUGCAUAUAUAGUAUGCAUAAAAACAUAAAAAAGUAGGUGAAGGUGUUUUACUCUCAUAUCCACAGCAGUUAUAAUGACGACUGAAGCUGCUUCUGUUCCUCUGCUAACGUACUGCCAAGCUACGCACAAGCGUCAGUAGUACUUUCAUCAUGGAGUGACAUGAAUAUAAGACUAUGCUAAGUAUGAGCUCGUCACGGUGGGCACGGCGCAGUGGUUAGCACUGUCGCCUCAUAGCAACAGGAUUCCGCGUUCGAAUCCCCGGCAGGUUUGCUAUGUUGGGUUUGGGGUUUGCAUUGUUCUCCCCAGUGCCUGAGUGGGUUUCCUCCGGAUAAUCCGGGGCUUUCUCCCACAAUACCGAUAACAUGCACAGAAGAUGGAAAACAUGAAAAAAGUAGUAGAGUGUUGUCUGUCGUGUGUGUGUGUGUGUGUGUGUGUGGGGGGGGUGUGUGUGUGUGUGAAUGUUUUGUGUGAGAGAGAGGGAGAGAGAUACGACGCUGAGACUCCGCGGUCCUUGCGCUCACCAGUGGAGAGGUUUCUGUUUUAUAAUAUGACCUUAUUGUGUUGGGCUUGGGCUACAUAUUUUGUAGUCAUUUAGUUGUGACGGCAGAAAUUUGUUAUUAUAUUUAAAAGGGAAGCUCUUAGCAGUUACUAUUUAUAAUCAUCAUAUAUGAGGAUAAAGGCUCCUGCACGCUGUGAUUUACAGUAGCGCCAUCAUUUCUGUCCAAAGGUAUCAGGUAUUUUCAUCAGAUCAUAUUAAUAUACAGUAAAGUAUAGGAGCUCAUUCACAUUAGUAACAUAAGUGUCACUGCCUCACUUGGUCUGGUGUGACCAAUAAAUCUUUCGAUGGCUAAUGCGAGAUAACAUAAGUCACAUGCUAGUAUACUUUUAUUACACUUUUUCUACUGGUCUUUGUGUUUCAGUAUUGACCAUCAAACAGUAUAUAUGCAUAUAUAGUAUGCAGUCAAAGGAAAUUCUGUAAACCUGUAAAACUCUGACCGUUUGUCUUGUGAAGGAAAAGCCUGGAAAGAAGGAAGAUGGAAAUAAAUAAAGGCGAGGUUGUUACAUUCCAUCACUGACUAAUUACUGGAAUUUUACAGUCUAUGUAAAUGUAGUCAUUGUUAAGUUGUGGUUGUACUUCAGAUAAGAGCUGACACGAGUUCUUUCAAAGUUUCCACUACUGAUAGUUCAGUUCUGUCAUAAACUCACCGCAGACACAUCUCACCUCACGCUUCCUCCCUGCUGAGAUUUAAGCAGCAGCUGAAGGUGUUUUACUCUCAUAUCCACAGCAGUUAUAAUGACGACUGAAGCUGCUUCUGUUCCUCUGCUAACGUACUGCCAAGCUACGCACAAGCGUCAGUAGUACUUUCAUCAUGGAGUGACAAGAAUAUAAACUUAUGCUAACUAUGACCUAAUCGCGGGCGGCACGGUGGUGCAGUGGUUAGCACUGGCGCCUCAUAGCGACAGGGUUCCAGGAUCGAACCCCGAGCCUUCUAUGUGCAGUUUACAUGUUCUCUCCGUGCCAGGA